AUUGAACGCUGGCGGCAGGCCUAACACAUGCAAGUCGAACGAGUGGCGGACGGGUGAGUAAUGUAUGGGAAACUGCCUGAUGGAGGGGGCUAACUACUGGAAACGGUAGCUAAUACCGCAUACCAUCAAAUUUGCCCAGCUGGGAUUGACUAGUUGGUGGGGUAACGGCUCACCAAGGCGACGAACCCUAGCUGGUCUGAGAGGAUGACCAGCCGCACUGGAACUGAGUCACAGUCCAGACUCCUACGCCAGGCAGCACUGGGGAGUAUUCAACAAUGGGCGCAAGCCUGAUGAAACCAUGCCGCGUGGAUGAAGUAGGCCUUCGGAUUGUAAAGUACUUACAGCGGGGAGGCGUUACCAGCAGAAGCAGCACCGGCUAACUCCGUACCAGCAAACGCGGUAAUUC
rnacentral:rRNA from 1 species